rnacentral:rRNA from 1 species
UACGUAGGGGGCGAGCGUUGUCCGGAAUCAUUGGGCGUAAAGAGCGUGUAGGUGGCCCGGUAAGUCUGAUGUGAAAUCUCGAGGCUCAACCUCGAAAUGUCAUUGGAUACUGUCGGGCUAGAGUCCGGAAGAGGAGAGUGGAAUUCCUGGUGUAGCGGUGGAAUGCGCAGAUAUCAGGAGGAACACCAAUGGCGAAGGCAGCUCUCUGGUACGGUACUGACACUGAGACGCGAAAGCGUGGGGAGCGAACAGG